rnacentral:lncRNA from 1 species
GGGCGAUCAUGCAGUUAAUCAAAGUACAUUCUCAAUCAAAUGCAAGACCUUUCUAAAUUAUUCACAAUAAAUUCAACCAAAGUACAUUCUCAAUCAAGUUUAUUGUGUUUAAUCAUGUCUAUUCUUAAAUCUCUUAACCAAAUUAAAAGUUAAUCAAUCAAAGUAAAUUCUCAAUUGAUUUUAGUUGAAAUUACUACUACCAACCAAAGUACAUUCUCAAUUGAUAGUAAAAACCAUUUAAUCAUAUGAAAGUUCCUAAAUUAAAUCAAAGUAGAUUCUCAAUUAAACCUAGAAACCCUAGAACUCAUANAAUUAAUAUGCAUGUAGAUUCAAACACAUAAUGAUGCAAAAAUCUUUGCUUUUAAUAUGAUAGAGAGAUGAAAGACAUAGAGAGACAUAAACUUAAAUCAAUAAUCAAAAUAAACAAUUGCAUUAAUUCACUUAACCUCAGAAUCCAUAAUGAAAUUACAGCAGAAUAGCCCUAGGAGCUUAGAAACAUAUGAAAGAAAAGUGAAAGCAGUGGUGGAUGAAUGAAUGAAGCUCUCCCUUUCUGCCUCCCCUGGGUCUCUUUAUAUAGGGCUUGAUUGGGCUUGGACUUUGAAUAUUCUGUUGAUAAAAUCUUUUAUCUUAUAUCUAAUAUCUUUCAAAUAUUCAACAGAUUUAAUCAGAUUUUGAGAAUAUUAGAUAAUAUCUUUCCUAGAUCAAAAAGAUUUGGCAAAUAUUAUCUUUUGAUAUUUAUUGAUAUAGUUAAAUNAGAUAAUUAUUUAACAAUUAUCAAGUAAAAUAUCUUAAGAUAUAUUUUCUCCAAAANAUCUUUUAAAAUAUCUAGAAGAUUUAAACUUGUCCAAAAUUACAUUUCAACCCUUUUUAUUUUAUUUACACAUAAGUCCAAAAUUUUUCUCUAAUUGCACUUUAGUCAUCUCUUUCUUUUCAAAAUUGCAUAAGACUUUGAGUUGACCAGAUUAGACCAUCUUUGACCAUUCAAUUUCAUGCUUUAAAUGAAUAAAAUUUUAACUUCAGUUGCACAAAUAAACAUUAGAACAUCCAAAAUAAUUUAUGCAACUAAGAAUCACAUUUUAAGCAUCUUUAGUUCCCAAACCCAAUAAAUUCAAUCGUCAUAAAUUCACUUUAAAUCAACCAUUUAAGCACAAAUAUAUCAUCAAAAAUUUGAAUUUUAAAGCAUAAAUGUGGGCAUAAAUAUGCACUUAUCACACCCCC